rnacentral:tRNA from 1 species
ACUUGGAUAUUUUAAUUUAAAAAUUAUGAUUUGUGGUGUCAUAGAUAUCUUUUGUGAUUCUAAGUC